CCCUUAGAUGUUCUGGGCCGCACGCGCGCUACAAUGAUGAAUUCAACGAGUUUAUAACCUUGGUUGAAAAGCCUGGGUAAUCUUUUGAACUUUCGUCGUGAUGGGGCUAGACCCUUGCAAUUAUUGGUCUCCAACGAGGAAUUCCUAGUAAACGCAAGUCAUCAGCUUGCAUUGAUUACGUCCCUGCCCUUUGUACACACCGCCCGUCGCGCCUACCGAUUGAAUGGUCCGGUGAAAUCUUCGGAUUGAGACUUUGUUUUCUUCACGGAAAACGCUGUUUUAAAAAGUUGAUUAAACCUUACCAUUUAGAGGAAGGUGAAGUCGUAACA
rnacentral:rRNA from 1 species